GGAUUCAGCUGUAACAAGAAGGGUGAUUCUGAUGUGUGCUUCAACAUGAUUAAGCCUUGAGUUCUUUCUGCUAAGUGAAAUAAUCAGACUCAAAAAGACAACUACUACAUGAUUCCACUUAACAGAGCAGCUGGAGUGCAUCCCGGGGACUUGGGAGCUCUGGAAAGAGGAGCAGGAAAGGGCCAUGGCCGGAGGAGGCCUGAAAAAGAUCAUCUCUGCCACAGAGAAGAAGCUGGCUCGGAUGCUGCUGGCCCCUAUGGAGACAGGGAGACCCGGGGAGACAACUGUAUUCAUUCAAGGAGGAAUGGGUGGUGAUGCAAACUUGGGUGGAGGCCACAGGGUGCAGAAGACAGGACACAGCAGAGAGAGAUGUAGGACAUGGAAGGGACAGAAAGGAGUGACCACAGGACAUAAAGGGGCAAGGAAAGUGGAAGCAUGAUAACAUCUGCUGGGCAUCCGGCUGAGGGGUUGGGUGCCUAGGGUGCCCUUCCCUAAGGGAGAACCCCAGGAGCAGAUUCAGAGAAAACCGCCCAGCUCACUCCAGCAAGAAUCAGAAAAGGACCGGUUAAAGGAGAGGGUAGGAAGGUCACCAAGCUCCAAGGGCCCUCAUGAAUCCGGCUUGGAGGCCACAGGGCCCAGGGCAAGGACAAACCACAGGCACAGGACAGCUCCGGUCAAGAUCUUCUGGCUACUGCAGGAGGCAGAAACCACACCCUGCACCCUGCACUGCUGAGGCUGGCGCUGGAGUCCAGAAGCUUCUACACCAGAAGCUUCGGUCCCCCAUCCCUGCUCAAAAAAUUAAAACAAAAACAAUAACAAAUCGGUGUCAUGCACCCUCUGCUUCCUGGUGCUGUUCGGGACCCUGAGUCUUUCACGGGAGCACCUGAUGGGGAAAGCCUGGACCCGUGUCGGUGUCCCUCCUGCAAGGAGUGCUGGGAAAAUGAACUUUCCAGCUUCCUCCUUGCGAAGGCAGAACAUUCCCCAUGUGUACUGGUGGCAUUUAAAAACUGCAGGGCAGCCAGAGAACAUGGACUGUGUUCCACCGGGAGAGUUCCUGGCGGGAUGUCCCGGUGCAGAAGCCCGUCCCAAGGUUUAGCAAUAAAGGAGGAUGUUGCUGAUCUCAGUACAAGCAAUGUUAGAGAAAGGGGAAGAUGGAAGUGGACAAGGACGAGUGAGUGGAAGGUGACAAAUGGAAGCAAAGAAACGUAUCCAGACCAUUGAAGAUGCUUGAGCGAGAAGAAAGAGGCGGUGGAGGGAAUGGAAGCCCGAGGAAGUCAUAUGUUGCAAUAAGGGGCCUCAGAGCACGUGUAGAGUGUGGAGCAGAGCCCUUGCAGAGGGGCUGUGGAAGGCUGGCAGGGUGCAGGUGGCCCCACUCUCCGUCACCCUGAGGAGUGUGUGGUCAGAGUUAAAGCUCAGUCUGUUUCUGGGAUCAGGUAAGAGGCUUUCACAAGCUCCAAAAGAUUCACCGUGCAGAACUGGACGUUCUAGAGAAAGACCACGCCUCCUCCUGCAGGUAACUCUUCAUUCAGGAAGCAGCUCUUGGCUUAUCCCUGGGCUUAGUGGAAUUGGAAUACCUGACCAUAGGACACCAAGGGCUUUAGGACCUGAGUGGCACAUCGUGUCCUGGUGACAUCUGAGUUACCUGGGGCGUGCACAGCAGCCUCCAGCAUCCCAGGGAGAGCUGUGUAUGGG
rnacentral:lncRNA from 1 species